rnacentral:rRNA from 1 species
UACUCUAGUGGCGAACGGGUGAGUAACACGUGGGUGAUCUGCCCUGCACUUCGGGAUAAGCCUGGGAAACUGGGUCUAAUACCGGAUAGUAGCCAUUUUUAGUGUGAUGGUUGGAAAGUUUUUUCGGUGUAGGAUGAGCUCGCGGCCUAUCAGCUUGUUGGUGGGGUAAUGGCCUACCAAGGCGGCGACGGGUAGCCGGCCUGAGAGGGUGGACGGCCACAUUGGGACUGAGAUACGGCCCAG